rnacentral:rRNA from 1 species
ACGUAGGAGGCGAGCGUUGUCCGGAUUUACUGGGUAUAAAGGGUCCGCAGGCGGAUUGACAAGUCGGUGGUGAAAUCCUUCAGCUUAACUGAAGAGCUGCCGUCGAUACUGUUGAUCUUGAAUAUAGGUGAGGUUAACGGAAUUCCAGGUGUAGCGGUGAAAUGCCUAGAUAUCUGCAAAAACACCGAUAUCGAAGGGUGUUGCCUGGCCUGGUAUUGACGCUCAGGGCCCAAAGCGUGGGGAUCAAACAG